AGUGGCGGACGGGUGAGUAACGCGUAGGAAUCUACCUGAUAGUGGGGGAUAGCCCGAAGAAAUUCGGAUUAAUACCGCAUAAUCUAUUCGUAGUAAAGUGGGGGACUUUCGAGCCUCACGCUAUCAGAUGAGCCUGCGUAAGAUUAGCUAGUUGGUAGGGUAAAAGCCUACCAAGGCGACGAUCUUUAGCUGGUCUGAGAGGAUGAUCAGCCACAUCGGGACUGAGACACGGCCCGAACUCCUACGGGAGGCAGCAGUGGGGAAUAUUGGACAAUGGGGGCAACCCUGAUCCAGCAAUACCGCGUGUGUGAAGAAGGCCUGAGGGUUGUAAAGCACUUUCAAUUGUGAAGAAAAGCUAGUGGUUAAUAGCCAUUAGCCUUGACGUUAACUUUAGAAGAAGCACCGGCUAACUCCGUGCCAGCAGCCGCGGUAAUACGGAGGGUGCAAGCGUUAAUCGGAAUUACUGGGCGUAAAGCGUGCGUAGGCGGUUUAUUAAGUCAGAUGUGAAAGCCCCGGGCUUAACCUGGGAACUGCAUUUGAAACUGGUCAACUAGAGUAUGGUAGAGGAAAGUGGAAUUUCUGGUGUAGCGGUGAAAUGCGUAGAUAUCAGAAUGAACAUCAUGGGCGAAGGCAACUUUCUGAACAUUACUGACGCUGAGUACGAAGCGUGGUAGCAAACAGGAUUAGAUACCCUGGUAGU
rnacentral:rRNA from 1 species